rnacentral:lncRNA from 1 species
UUCACUUUCAUCAACACAAAACUCCUCCUUCUCUCUCACUAAGCUACGUCCAAGCACUCCCUUCACCUUCAAAAAUUUUCUAGUCCAUUCUCAAACAAUCCAAGGUGUUCACAAGAUGUCUUAAGCAUAUUUAUGAAGAUUUCAAGCAAGGAGAAGUGAAGGACCUUCUUAGAGAGCUAUUAACCACCUAUUUUCUUCAUCAUCUUGCUUCUUGAUCUUCCCUAGCCAUAGUGCUAGUAAUCACCAUAUGAAGCUUGCUAGAUGAUAAUUAAACACAUGAUCUAGCAUGUGUAACAGGAUGGAUCUUGGACGCAAGUGUCGUAACUAGAAGUAAACUCCAAGUUUAGAUGUCAUCCACUUUUGUUGAUUUGUAACCUAGUCGAAGGUUGUGUU